CGCGGCGCUGGUGGGCGGGCGGCUGCUGGUGCUGGAGCUGACGGCCCCCGCGCUGGAGCGGCGGGGCCUGGGGUUCGGGUCCCGACGACGGGUC
rnacentral:tRNA from 1 species